GAUGAACGCUGGCGGCGUGCCUAAUACAUGCAAGUCGAGCGAACAGACGAGGAGCUUGCUCCUCUGACGUUAGCGGCGGACGGGUGAGUAACACGUGGAUAACCUACCUAUAAGACUGGGAUAACUUCGGGAAACCGGAGCUAAUACCGGAUAAUAUAUUGAACCGCAUGGUUCAAUAGUGAAAGACGGUUUUGCUGUCACUUCUAGAUGGAUCCGCGCCGCAUUAGCUAGUUGGUAAGGUAACGGCUUACCAAGGCAACGAUGCGUAGCCGACCUGAGAGGGGGAUAGGCCACACUGGAACUGAGACACGGUCAAGACUCCUAAGGGAGGCAGCAGUAGGGAAUCUUCCGCAAUGGGCGAAAGCAUGACGGAGCGACGCCGCGUGAGUGAUGAAGGUCUUCGGAUCGUAAAACUCUGUUAUUAGGGAAGAACAAAUGUGUAAGGAACUAUGCACGGCUUGACGGUACCGAAUCAGAAAGCCACGGCUAACUACGUG
rnacentral:rRNA from 1 species